rnacentral:rRNA from 1 species
AUCCCCGACUUCCUGGAAGGGGUGUACUUAUUAGAUGGAAACCAAUGCGGGGCAACCCGGAUUCUGGUGAUUCAUAAUAAUUAUCGGAUCGAUCGUAUGAUCGAUGCAUCAUUCAAGUUUCUGCCCUAUCAGCUUUGGAUGGUAGGGUAUUGGCCUACCAUGGCAUUAACGGGUAACGGAGAAUUAGGGUUCGAUUCCGGAGAGGGAGCCUGAGAAAUGGCUACCACAUCCAAGGAAGGCAGCAGGCGCGUAAAUUACCCAAUCCUGACACAGGGAGGUAGUGACAAUAAAUAACAAUGCUCUGGCUCUUCGAGUCGGGCAAUUGGAAUGAGAACAAUUUAAAUCCCUUAUCGAGGAUCAAUUGGAGGGCAAGUCUGGUGCCAGCAGCCGCGGUAAUUCCAGCUCCAAUAGCGUAUAUUAAAGUUGUUGCAGUUAAAAAGCUCGUAGUUGAAGUUCUGGCUGCUUGACCCUCGAGCUCUGUAGCCGAGGGAUCAGCAGUCAUCCGCUUGCAAACAUAAAUUCGCCUUUAACCGGGCGGCUAUGUGAGUAAGCAUUUUACCUUGAGAAAAACAGAGUGUUCCAGGCAGGUUUGUCCGGAAUGCAUUAGCAUGGAAUAAUAGAAUAUGACUGAAGUCGAUUUAUUGGUUUGAGGCUUUAGUAAUGAUUAAUAGGAACAGUCGGGGGCAUUGGUACUUGACAGUCAGAGGUGAAAUUCUAGGAUUUGUCAAAGACUAACAAAUGCGAAAGCAUUUGCCAAGGAUGUUUUCAUUAAUCAAGAACGAAAGUUAGGGGAUCAAAGACGAUCAGAUACCGUCCUAGUCUUAACUAUAAACUAUACCGACUCGGAUUCAGAUGAAUCAUAAAGUUCAUUUGGGACCGUAGGAGAAAUCAAAGUUUUUGGGUUCUGGGGGAAGUAUGGUCGCAAGGCUGAAACUUAAAGGAAUUGACGGUUUUGCACCACCAUGGAGUGGAGUCUGCGGCUUAAUUUGACCCAACACUGGGAAACUCAUCAGGGCAAGAAGAUUGUAGGAUUGACAGAUUGAGAGUUCUUUCUUGAUUGGUCUAGUGGUGGUGCAUGGCCGUUCUUAGUUGGUGGAGUGAUUUGUCUGGUUAAUUCCGUUAACGAACGAGACCUUAACCUGCUAACUAGUACGUUGAUGACAAAUCAACGAUACUUCUUAGAGGGACUAUGUGAUGUAAUCACAUGGAAGUUUGAGGCAAUAACAGGUCUGUGAUGCCCUUAGAUGUCCUGAGCUGCACGCGUACUACAAUGGUGCUUUCAACGAGCUUUUCCUGAUCCGAAAGGAUUUGGGUAAUCUUUUUAGUGAGCACCGUGCUUGGGAUAGAUCUUUGUAAUUAUGGAUCUUGAACUAGGAAUUCCUAGUAAGCACGUGUCAUCAGCACGUGCUGAUUACGUCCCUGCAAAAUGUACACACCGCCCGUCGCUAUUACCGAUUGAGUGUAAAGGUGAACCUUCUCGAUAGGGUCAAACCUAAAAAUUAAGUAAACCUUUGCACUUAGAGGAAAUAAAAGUCGUAACAAGGUUU